CUGGUUGAUCCUGCCAGUAGUCAUAUGCUUGUCUCAAAGAUUAAGCCAUGCAUGUCUAAGUACAUACUUUUGCACGGUGAAACCGCGAAUGGCUCAUUAAAUCAGUUAUGGUUCCUUAGAUAGUUCAUAUUACAUGGAUAACUGUGGUAAUUCUAGAGCUAAUACAUGCAAAAAGCUCCGACCGUAUGGGAAGAGCGCUUUUAUUAGACCAAAACCAAUGGGAUCGCAAGAUUCCUUUGUAUGGUGACUCUGGAUAACUUUGUGCAGAUCGCAUGGCCUAGAGCCGGCGACGUAUCUUUCAAAUGUCUGCCCUAUCAACUUUCGAUGGUAAGCGAUAUGCCUACCAUGGUUGUAACGGGUAACGGGGAAUCAGGGUUCGAUUCCGGAGAGGGAGCAUGAGAAAUGGCUACCACAUCUACGGAAGGCAGCAGGCGCGCGAAUUACCCACUCCUAGAACGGGGAGGUAGUGACGAAAAAUAACAAUACCGGACUCUAUGAGGCUCGGUAAUUGAAAUGAGUACAGUUUAAAACCCUUAACGAGGAUCUAUUGGAGGGCAAGUCUGGU
rnacentral:rRNA from 1 species